CAACAACAGAAAACCUCAAUCGCUUAGGAGUCAUUCUUGUCUACAUCUGCUCCAUCGGUGAAACACUGGCGGACUAAGGACUGUCACUCAG